GGACAGGUGGCUGAGCGGCUGAAAGCGUUGGUCUUGAAAACCAAUAUAUGGUAUUCCCAUAUCGGGGGUUCAAAUCCCUCCCUGUCCG
rnacentral:tRNA from 1 species